ensembl:misc_RNA Metazoa_SRP Metazoan signal recognition particle RNA
GCCGGGUGUGGUGGCGCACGCCUGUAGUCCCAGCUACUCGGGAGGCUGAGGCAGAAGAAUCACUUGAAUCCAGGAGGCGGAGGUUGCAGGGAGCCAAGAUUGUGACACUGCACUCUAGCCUGGGCAACAGAGUGAGACUCCGUCUCAA